rnacentral:rRNA from 1 species
AACGAACGCUGGCGGCAGGCCUAACACAUGCAAGUCGAACGCCGUAGCAAUACGGAGUGGCAGACGGGUGAGUAACACGUGGGAACGUACCUUUCGGUUCGGAAUAACUCAGGGAAACUUGAGCUAAUACCGGAUACGUGCGAGAGCAGAAAGAUUUAUCGCCGAAAGAUCGGCCCGCGUCCGAUUAGCUUGUUGGUGAGGUAAUGGCUCACCAAGGCGACGAUCGGUAGCUGGUCUGAGAGGAUGAUCAGCCACACUGGGACUGAGACACGGCCCAGACUCCUACGGGAGGCAGCAGUGGGGAAUAUUGGACAAUGGGCGAAAGCCUGAUCCAGCCAUGCCGCGUGAGUGAUGAAGGCCUUAGGUUGUAAAGCUCUUUUGUUCCGGGAAGAUAAUGACGGUACCGGAAGAAUA